rnacentral:rRNA from 1 species
CUACGGGCGGCUCCAGUAGGGAAUAUUGGACAGUGGGCGAAAGCCUGAUCCAGCAACACCGCGUGCACGAUGACGGCCUUCGGGUUGUAAAGUGCUUUUAGAGGAGAUGAGAAAGGACAGUAUCCUCUGAAUAAGCCUCGGCGAACUACGUGCCAGCAGCCGCGGUAAAACGUAGGAGGCAAGCGUUAUCCGGAUUUAUUGGGCGUAAAGCGCGUGCAGGCGGUCUAGCAAGUUGGAUGUGAAAGCUCCCGGCUCAACUGGGAGAGGUCGUUCAAUACUGUUAGACUAGAGAAUAGGAGAGGGAGGUGGAAUUCCGGGUGUAGUGGUGAAAUGCGUAGAUAUCCGGAGGAACACCAGUGGCGAAAGCGGCCUCCUGGACUAUUUCUGACGCUAAGACGCGAAAGCUAGGGUAGCAAACGGGAUUAGAUACCCCUGUAGUC